rnacentral:miRNA from 1 species
UGCAUCAUGCGUGACCUCCCC